rnacentral:rRNA from 1 species
AGAGUUUGAUUAUGGCUCAGGAUGAACGCUAGCUACAGGCUUAACACAUGCAAGUCGAGGGGCAGCAUUGGAGUAGCAAUACUCAGAUGGCGACCGGCGCACGGGUGAGUAACACGUAUCCAACCUGCCGCUUACUCGGGGAUAGCCUUUCGAAAGAAAGAUUAAUACCCGAUGGUAUAAAGAGUUCGCAUGUUCUCUUUAUUAAAGAAUUUCGGUAAGCGAUGGGGAUGCGUUCCAUUAGAUAGUUGGCGGGGUAACGGCCCACCAAGUCUACGAUGGAUAGGGGUUCUGAGAGGAAGGUCCCCCACAUUGGAACUGAGACACGGUCCAAGCUCCUACGGGAGGCAGCAGUGAGGAAUAUUGGUCAAUGGACGAGAGUCUGAACCAGCCAAAAGUAGCGUGAAGGAUGACUGCCCUAUGGGUUGUAAACUUCUUUUAUAAGGGAAUAAAGUGAGGGACGUGUCCCUUUUUGUAUGUACCUUAUGAAUAAGGAUCGGCUAACUCCGUGCCAGCCGCCGC